rnacentral:rRNA from 1 species
CUUGGUCAUUUAGAGGAAGUAAAAGUCGUAACAAGGUUUCCGUAGGUGAACCUGCGGAAGGAUCAUUCAUAAUAAAGUGUUUUAUGGCACUUUUUAAAAAUCCAUAUCCACCUUGUGUGCAAUGUUAGAUCUCGUCAAUCUUGGCGAGGUUUUUAUACAUCAACUCAUUCUUUAACUAAUUUGUCUGAAAAAUAUUAUGAAUAACUUAAUUCAAAAUACAACUUUCAACAACGGAUCUCUUGGCUCUCGCAUCGAUGAAGAACGCAGCGAAAUGCGAUACGUAAUGUGAAUUGCAGAAUUCAGUGAAUCAUCGAAUCUUUGAACGCAUAUUGCGCUCUCUGGUAUUCCGGAGAGCAUGCUUGUUUGAGUAUCAGUAAACACCCUCAGAACUUUCUUGAUUUUCGAAUCUUGGAGCUCUGGAUUUGAGUGAUCCCAACGUGUUCUUUCGCAGAACAUGGCGGGCCACUUGAAAUGCAGGUGCAGCUGGACUUUCUUCUGAGCUAAAAGCAUAUUAUUUAGUCCUGUCAACACUUGUGUUGCGGAUUAUUACUUCUGCUGCAGCUUACAUAAAGGUUGAUUGUUCAAAUGCUGACUGAUGCAGGAUUUAUCAGGUAGCGUAAAGCGAUCUGUUAAACUCGAUCUCAAAUCAAGUAAGACUACCCGCUGAACUUAAGCAUAUCAAUAAGCGGAGG